CCGAGCCCGGCUUCUCGGUGUUUGUGAGUGUCGGUCGGUCAAGCAAAUGGCCGCCCGUCGUGUCUGUGAGUGCUUAUUUCUUGGUGCGCGCAACGCGGCGGCGCAGUUCGUCUUUUUCUGAAAACAAGAGAGGGCACGGAACGUUGCGAGCAUCGACAGUUCGGUUAGAAAUCCGAGAUAAUCUUACUUUUUAUUUCGAUCUUCCACGGCUGGACAAGGUACUUGAUUUUGAUCGACUUCGAGCGUCUUUUCACGGCAUCCAUUUUUAACCGAGCCGAUGCUAGUUCAGUCUGAUAAUUCGGAAUUUUCCGAUCAGACUACCUACAUAACCUCAAUUUUCACAGCGAGAUGCUGCUGAUAGAAGUAGACACAACGUUGAUAGAUAUUUGAGUGAUUACGUCACGGUUCAACCUCGAAAUGGCUCGGUCUUUCACCUACGACAGGCCUCUGGAUGUCAAAAUAAUACCCGUUUCCGAGAAUUCGAAUCACGAGUUUCAGUUGCAGGUGCCGUGCAGUGCGAACGGAAUACAUUGGCUGGAUAAAAACUGGGGAAGCGUUUGAACGAGCAAAUGGAUGGGCAUGUAAAUCUCGUUUGAUAAAUGUGAACAAUUUAUAAACGAGCUGCAGAAAACUACCCAUAUAUGUAUAUUGCAGCCGCUCGUUCUCGUCGAGAUGUGGAGAGCAACAAUGUAAUCGGAGAAUUUUUUGGGCCUGCCUUUAGUUUGAACCACCAAGGCCGAGGAACCUACAGUGGAUACGGAUACGGAAACAGCUACAAGAUGUUUGUAACAUUUGAUAAGAGAAGAAGAGCCUCUCACGUACACGAAACUUAAUAGCAUCUAAUUUCCGACUCAGCCAGCAGAGGUUGUCAUCUCGACAUAUUGCGCCAUUCGGUUGAGAAGAUCGGAGAUCCCACGCUUUGUAAGCCUUAGCGUGGUUCACGUGUGAUAUACUUAGGAACAAUUUCAGGCUCGGAUUGGGGGUAAUAAAUUGAAUUUAUAUUGAUUAAGUAUGUAUACGAUUGAAUAUCGAAAUCCAUUGAAAAAUUGUGAAACUUAGAAAUUGAAACUCAUAAUAUUCGAAAUAUUUCUAUACAUAUUUUGUGUUCUGGUUCUGUUUGAUUGAAUGAAUUUUAAUUUUUACAUUUCAAAAUCUCAAAGACGAGUUUGCUGUUUUUCUCUUCAAUUUUUCCUAAUCUUUACCGUGCUCUUACUAUACAUAACCCCUCAUCAUUUUCUUAUGCAUCAUUGAUAAUUUUUCUCUUUUCUGUAACUCUGCUUAAAUCUAAUGGUAUAGUAUCUAAUCGAAAGAAUAAGAGAAGAGGUAAAAAAAGGUGAACAUCUCCAAACACUCUCGACCAAUCCUACACUGACAUAUGCUUUGACACCUGUGUACACAUGCCCUAAGUCAAAUACAUUACUAUGAUUAUACAUGUGAAUUAAAAGCUCGAUUUAACGGUCAGUAAUGCGACCGGCUCUGUAUGGCACCUUGUUAAAUCGAGGUUGCGUAGGCGUCUCUUAUGCUGUAUUUUAAUAUCGGCUAUAUAUAGGCAAGCAUGCUACGGUCCUGAACGUGGAGACCAAAAGCGACCCCGACUAUAUCCCAUUACUUGGCAAACCGAUUGAUAAAUGUGACAUGGCGGGAACUGGCUUUGAUUAAAGACCGUCAAGGCGAGUCUAGUGUAUGUUCAUUUUAUGAAUAUAUAUUGAAAAGUAUUAGAUACAUCUAUAGCUUUAUGGCAAACAGCAAAAUAAACUAAUGAGAAAUGUAACUUACGAUAUCGGAAACAUCUCUGCGGGAAAUGGUGAAAAUUUAAAGUAUCAAGAUGAACUAAACAUUGAUAAACCAAGCCAGUCGUUAUUAAUUUUUCCAAAUGUUUCACUGACGACCCUUCCUGAGGUAAACAGGUGUGCAUGCAGCCAAACAGUAUCGACUUUUGCAGUCAAUCUACCAAUUGAGAUCUGUAUUCAUACCUCCUCAUGCGUUCAGAUGGUCUUUUAACAAGUCAAGCAGUUAAUUCCAAGUACAAGGAGCAUUAGACGAGCGUUCGCAAGCUCUUUUGAAUACGCAGGCAUGAUGAAAGACACGUGCAAUCAGCAUCAAAAAGUGAAGAUUUUGAUGAUUUUGAAUGAUGCUGGAAUCAAUUCGUCGUUGCACUUUAUCGAAGUGAUUUUUGGAAGGGAACCCGAUCUACAAAGCCUUGACUCGCUGCGAACAACGGAUCCAAAGUAACGGCCGUAAAACAUACCAUUUACACCGAGCUUUCGAAGAGGUGGCAAGGAAAGAUAACAAAUUCGAAGAUAUGUGGUUUUAACUUCCACCUACUUUCAGUUUAUUCACUAUGCCUUAAUUCUAGUACAAGUGUUCGGGUGUCAGUGUGUAAUACUUCAAUAAGAUGCCAAAAAGUAUUGAGAGAAAGAACAAAAAAAUAUGCAUUAAUAAAAUUAGCUAUUUCAUGGAAUAUCAGACUAUACAUAUACUAGAUAGGAGAGACGCAAUGUACACUACGUUAAGGAGCGUACAGUAACAUAGAGGAUAGUUUUUAUUGUCAUUUGUCAGUAUACUUUUAGUUCUGUGAUGCGUACUGGUGCAUGGCACCUCUGCAUAAUAUGACGAUAUAUUAUAUUGUUGCUAUUGUAUAAUACGCAGAUUGCAAUAAACAAAUCAGUAAA
rnacentral:misc_RNA from 1 species